GACGAACGCUGGCGGCGCGCUUAACACAUGCAAGUCGAACGGAAAGGCCUUCUUUCCCUUGUGUAUUGCGGGUACUCGAGUGGCGAACGGGUGAGUAACACGUGAGUUAUCUGCCCCCAACUUGUGUAUAAGCCUGGGAAACUGGGUCUAAUUCCCGAUAGGACUGCAGGGUGGUGCCUGUGGUUGAAAACGAUUUUCUAGUGGUUGGGGAUGAGCUCGCGGCCUAUCAGCUUGUUGGUGGGGUAAUGUCCUACCAAGGCGGCGACGGGUAGCCGGCCUGGGAGAGUCGACGGCCACAGUGGGACUGAGAUACGGGGCAGACUACUACGGGAGGAAGCAGUGGGGAAUAUGGCACAAUGGGCGGAAGCCUGAUGCAGCGACGCCGCGUGGGGGAUGACGGGCUUCGGGUUAUGAACUCCUUUCGACAGCGAGGAAGCCACCUGGUUGGAAGGGUGGUGACGGUAGUGGUAGAAGAAGCACCGGCUAACUACGUG
rnacentral:rRNA from 1 species